GUCCUAAAACAUAACCACGAAACAAGCUAAUUAAGAAUAUAUAUUAUAUAGUUCCUCAAUUCCUUGAGAAAAGUUAUAUUUUUUAUUCCCAAAAAUUUCCUUUAUUAUCAAAAUGAGCAGCAAAAAAAGUGUUCAAGGUUCUCUUUGUCCCACAAGGCCUCCACCAUCUCCGAGUCCUUCAGGCUCCGGGGGUAAUAAGCCGAAGGCACCAACCACCAAGACCAUAUUUUAUCCCAACAAAAAUUGAUUUCUUCAAAGGUGUAUGUAGAAGAGCCAAAACUGGAAGGAAUGAUAAUGCAUGGCGAACAGAAGAAACGAAAGAAUAAGUUAGGAUUUAUUUGGUUUGUAUUUUCAAUUUUUAUGUUUAUUUUUAUUUUUAAUAUUUUUGUUUUUAAAAUUUUAUGGAAAAAAAAGUAAAACCAUAAAAUAAAAAUUAUUGUUUUUACUUUUUUUUCCCUUCACAAAUUCAUAUAAAAACAGAAAAUAUUAAAAAUAAAAUGAAAAAUUAAAACACAUACCAAACCUACUCUAAUCUUGAUAGCUAGCUAGUUCAAAUGAUUCUUUUUCUUUUCUUAUUCUUGUUAUUUUUUAUAUUUUUAUUUUUAGAAAACAUAGUGUUUGCUUCCCUUUGUUUUCUUUCUUGUAUUUAGGUUUCUCGGGGGUACGGUUUACUUUAAUUUCAAGAGUUGGGGGGCAUAUAUACUAGUGGAUAGUCAUAAUAAUAAAAUAAAAUUAAAUAUAUUUAGUGUAUGUCAUGAUUUGUUUUCUUUUGGUGUGUGUUCUUUGUAAUAUAGUGAAAUGUAAAUUUUAGUGAAAAAGUUAUUGUGACAGUUUAAUUAUAUAUGAUGAGUUCAAUAUA